GUAGUCAUAUGCUUGUCUCAAAGAUUAAGCCAUGCAUGUCUAAGUAUAAGCAAUCUAUACUGUGAAACUGCGAAUGGCUCAUUAAAUCAGUUAUCGUUUAUUUGAUAGUACCUUACUACAUGGAUACCUGUGGUAAUUCUAGAGCUAAUACAUGCUAAAAACCCCGACUUCAGGAAGGGGUGUAUUUAUUAGAUAAAAAACCAACGCCCUUCGGGGCUCCUUGGUGAAUCAUAAUAACUUAACGAAUCGCAUGGCCUUGCGCCGGCGAUGGUUCAUUCAAAUUUCUGCCCUAUCAACUUUCGAUGGUAGGAUAGUGGCCUACCAUGGUGGCAACGGGUAACGGGGAAU
rnacentral:rRNA from 1 species